rnacentral:tRNA from 1 species
UUUUUAGUAGUUUAAAAAGAGAACAAUCCAGUUUCAGUGGGUGGGUGAUUAAAAAAUCCU